UUGUUGUGAUGACGGAGUGGAUGUAGCGGCCGGAGAAUUGUCUGUACUGUAACUGUGUUACUCAGUGUUAGAUUAAUAAAUCCUCAAAGAAAGUAAAGCGGACUUUUAUUCACCAACCCCGGGACGAAGGGAAUUAACCCCAAAGUUUACUUAGCCGACAGUACUUUGGCCCUGGAGCAGACAGCAACGCCUCCCCCUGCAAACUCCGACUACGGUCAGAGACGGACCGGCAGGAAAGCGUGCAGCCGGGCGCAGCUAAAUGACACGUAAUGUAUUAUGGCCCGUGCAAAGUCAUGCCACCAGUCUGAGGACAUCACUGGGAAUGGCACAUGGGACACGUGGCUUUCAACUCCAGCGAGGUGGGAAAGCAUUUCUUUAUGUAUAUUUUGUUCUGUCUGCAUAAUUGUAAAAGACUUCUUCCCGCAUUCGUACAACAGCAUUCCAUAUCGUGUGACUGUCGAUGGAUGUAAUAAUUUGGCCUUCUUUUUUUCUUCCACCACACGGCACGGGUGGGCUUCACCGCGGGCAAUCGUGGCAAAGACCCAAGUCGACUGGACCACAGCGGAAAAUGAUCCUUCCAGAGAAGAAGUUAUUUACUUCUACAACGAAUGGAAGAGUUACAACUUCCAGAUGACAGCUCUCCGCUCAUCCUUCUGGGCAACUUGAACAUCCGACAGAACUUAUGUGACCUACUGCGUUUAUUUUCUCCUUUAGCUCUCAUUUAAGUAUUAAAAUUCGCUGUAUUUUUGCAAGAGAGGCACCAAUCCUAUUUGAGGGACGUUUCGAUUGUGAAAUUGUAUUGGACCAUAUAGGUCAUCUGCAGAGCGUUGGCCCCUGGCGCAGUAAACCAGGGUUUGAUUCUUGGCAUGCACAAGACUCCUCAUGUGACUUAAAAUGAAUCCAGAAUGCAAUAUUUGUUCAGUAUGCAAGGGCAGUGAUUUAUUUAGUCAUGUUUGGUCAUGUUUUGGUUUUUUUACAUGACAAUAUGGUUUGGUACAUGCUGAGUUAAUGAAUAUACAUUCUAAAGUGCAAUGUCCAUAUGUGAAUAAGAGUUGUAUACGUUUAUCAUAGUCAACAUGGUGUGGAAAUAUCCCUUAUGUAGUUGGUCAAUGGGAACUAUAGUAGGCAGUAAUAACAGCUAAGGUAAUUACAGGUGGAUAUUUCUGGGAAUUAACCUUGAUUGAGACUGCAUCUAUGAUAUCUAAGAUAUACAGGACAAGAAAAAUGCACUGGAUGUGUAUAUGUGUUGAAUCAAUUAUACAGACGCAAACUGGAGAACGAGACAAGUGUUGCUGUGAUACUUAUUGUGGUCAUCGUGCCCGAGACCCGUAACAAUUACUCCGCAGGUCUUUUGCAGCGGGGCAACAGCCCGGCGUCGGUGGAUUCCGUUCGCGAGGCCGCAGAUUCAGGUUUGAAUGGCAGCCCCGAGAGUGAUUUGUUUAGUCUCUUUAGUCUUUUUUGACCCGCGAGCCCGGCCGACCGCC